GCCUUCGUGGUGUAGUGGUCAGCACACUUGGCGCGUAUUCCAGAGGUACGAGGUUCGAGUCCCGGCGAGGACA
rfam:Stegodyphus mimosarum contig110264, whole genome shotgun sequence.